rnacentral:rRNA from 1 species
GACGAACGCUGGCGGCGCGCCUAACACAUGCAAGUCGAACGAGCGAGAGAGAGCUUGCUUUCUCGAGCGAGUGGCGACCGGGUGAGUAACGCGUGCGGAACCUGCCUCACAGAGGGGGACAACAGCUGGUAACGACUGCUCCUACCGCAUAAGCCCCCGACCCGGCAUCGGGCAGAGGGCAACGGAGCAAUCCGCUUUGAGAUUGCCUCGCGUCCGAUUAGCUAGUUGGUGAGGUAACGGCCCACCAAGGCGACGAUCGGUAGCCGGACUGAGAGGUUGAACGGCCACAGUGGGACUGAGACACGGCCCAGACUCCUACGGGAGGCAGCAGUGGGGAAUAUUGCACAAUGGGGGAAACCCUGAUGCAGCGACGCCGCGUGGAGGAAGAAGGUCUUCGGAUUGUAAAGUCCUGUUGUUGAGGAAGAUAAUGACGGUACUCAACAAAGAAGUGACGGCUAACUACGUG